GACGAACGCUGGCGGCGUGCUUAACACAUGCAAGUCGAACGGAAAGGCCUCUUUCGGGGGGUACUCGAGUGGCGAACGGGUGAGUAACACGUGAGUAACCUGCCCUUGACUUUGGGAUAACUUCAGGAAACUGGGGCUAAUACCGGAUAGGAGCUCCUGCUGCAUGGUGGGGGUUGGAAAGGUUCGGCGGUUGGGGAUGGACUCGCGGCUUAUCAGCUUGUUGGUGGGGUAGUGGCUUACCAAGGCUUUGACGGGUAGCCGGCCUGAGAGGGUGACCGGCCACAUUGGGACUGAGAUACGGCCCAGACUCCUACGGGAGGCAGCAGUGGGGAAUAUUGCACAAUGGGUGGAAGCCUGAUGCAGCAACGCCGUGUGCGGGAUGACGGCCUUCGGGUUGGAAACCGCUUUCGCUCAUGACGAAGCUUUGUGUGACGGUAGUGGGUAAAGAAGCACCGGCUAACUACGUG
rnacentral:rRNA from 1 species